rnacentral:rRNA from 1 species
UUUUCGACCUGAACUCAGACGUGAAUACCCGCUGAAACUUAAGCAUAU